rnacentral:rRNA from 13 species
UUACUUUUGGGGGGAGUAUGGUCGCAAGGCUGAAACUUAAAGAAAUUGACGGAAGGGCACCACCAG